CUUCAUCAAUUAAAUAAUUAUGUUUUUUGAUCACGAUGUGACAUCGCUAAGACGGCUAUUCGUUAUAAAACCAUAAUUAUUUAUAGGUUAAGUCUUUGUAUAUAAUUUUCUUCAAUAACAAGUCACACAGAAACGCGUCAAGGUUCUUUCCAUCGUCUCGUUCAGUGGGACGAGGAAAACAUAUGAACCAAUAAAAUUAAAUUUUAAAUUAGUGAUGACGAGAAUGAAAAAUAUCUCGUUUUCAAAUAGUUUUUUUUUCGUUUUUUUUUUAAUGUUUAAGUUUGAAUAGUACCUAUUUUUAUGGCAUACAUUUUGUUUUUAUAUAAAAGAUUAUAAAAAAAAAUUUAAAAAAAAACAUGAUUUAUGUUACAAUUUUCACAUAUAAUGUUUACAUUGGAAACCCACUUAAACGACUGCUAACCUACGUCGGCAUGUUUUAAGGUGGCAUUAAGGUUAAGCUAAGUCUAGGCUAUGUUUGAAUUUUAUUUUUUUUUCAAUUUAUUUUACUAAAUUUUCCUAUUUUAAUGUAUUGGCAUUAUUGUCCAUACCCUUUAUCGACUAAAUAAUUAUGUUUUUUGAUCACGAUGUGUCAUCGCUAAGACGGCUAUUCAUUCGGUAUAAAACCAUAAUUAUGUAUAGGUUAAGUUU